rnacentral:tRNA from 1 species
UGUGGCUCAGUGGCAGAGUGCUUGCCUAGCAUGCAUGAGGCACUGGGUUCAAUCCUCAGCA